rnacentral:rRNA from 1 species
AUUGAACGCUGGCGGCAGGCCUAACACAUGCAAGUCGAACGGUAACAGGAAACAGCUUGCUUUUUCGCUGACGAGUGGCGGACGGGUGAGUAAUGUCUGGGAAACUGCCUGAUGGAGGGGGAUAACUACUGGAAACGGUAGCUAAUACCGCAUAACGUCGCAAGACCAAAGAGGGGGACCUUCGGGCCUCUUGCCAUCAGAUGUGCCCAGAUGGGAUUAGCUAGUAGGUGGGGUAACGGCUCACCUAGGCGACGAUCCCUAGCUGGUCUGAGAGGAUGACCAGCCACACUGGAACUGAGACACGGUCCAGACUCCUACGGGAGGCAGCAGUGGGGAAUAUUGCACAAUGGGCGCAAGCCUGAUGCAGCCAUGCCGCGUGUAUGAAGAAGGCCUUCGGGUUGUAAAGUACUUUCAGCGGGGAGGAAGGGAGUAAAGUUAAUACCUUUGCUCAUUGACGUUACCCGCAGAAGAAGCACCGGCUAACUCCGUGCCAGCAGCCGCGGUAAUACGGAGGGUGCAAGCGUUAAUCGGAAUUACUGGGCGUAAAGCGCACGCAGGCGGUUUGUUAAGUCAGAUGUGAAAUCCCCGGGCUCAACCUGGGAACUGCAUCUGAUACUGGCAAGCUUGAGUCUCGUAGAGGGGGGUAGAAUUCCAGGUGUAGCGGUGAAAUGCGUAGAGAUCUGGAGGAAUACCGGUGGCGAAGGCGGCCCCCUGGACGAAGACUGACGCUCAGGUGCGAAAGCGUGGGGAGCAAACAGG